rnacentral:misc_RNA from 1 species
UACGGAGGGGGUUAACGUUAUUCGGAAUCAUUGGGCUUAAAGAGCGCGUAGGCGGCGUCGUAAGUUAGAGGUGAAAUCCCAUCGGCUCAACCGUGGAACUGCCCCUAAUACUGCGAUGCUUGAGGGAGGUAGGGCAUGUGGAACUUCCAGUGGAGCGGUGAAAUGUGUUGAGAUUGGAAGGAACGCCAGUGGCGAAAGCGACGUGCUGGAUCUCUUCUGACGCUGAGGCGCGAAAGCUAGGGUAGCGAACGGG